AUUGAACGCUGGCGGCAGGCCUAACACAUGCAAGUCGAGCGGAUGAGGGAAGCUUGCUUCCCGAUUUAGCGGCGGACGGGUGAGUAAUGCCUAGGAAUCUGCCUAUUAGUGGGGGAUAACGUUCCGAAAGGAACGCUAAUACCGCAUACGUCCUACGGGAGAAAGUGGGGGAUCUUCGGACCUCACGCUAAUAGAUGAGCCUAGGUCGGAUUAGCUAGUUGGUGAGGUAACGGCUCACCAAGGCGACGAUCCGUAGCUGGUCUGAGAGGAUGAUCAGCCACACUGGAACUGAGACACGGUCCAGACUCCUACGGGAGGCAGCAGUGGGGAAUAUUGGACAAUGGGCGAAAGCCUGAUCCAGCCAUGCCGCGUGUGUGAAGAAGGUCUUCGGAUUGUAAAGCACUUUAAGUUGGGAGGAAGGGUUGUAAGCUAAUAUCUUGCAGCUUUGACGCUACCAACAGAAUAAGCACCGGCUAACUCUGUGCCAGCCGCCGCCGUAAUAC
rnacentral:rRNA from 1 species